rnacentral:lncRNA from 1 species
CUCUUAAAUAGCAUGUGGAGCUCCUACUUUGUAGGAGCUCCUUGAUUAAAUUCCAAGAGGGGCAUCGGCCCCUCUUCUUUGCCGCACCAAGCAAGGAAAAGGAGGAGGGGCAUGUGCCCCUCCUUCAUGGUUAACCUAAUCCUCCUCUAAGGAGGAUUAGGAAGGUCACUCUUGGUUAGGUCUUAAUCUAAUUAGGUUUGGACCAAGGGUGAACCAAUUUGGGUUUUAAUCUAGGUAAGUCCUAAUCCAAUUAGAACUUGAUGAGCCAUGACUCAAUUGAACCUUUCAAUCCUAAUCUAAUUAGGAGUCAUCUUGAUUCAUUAGAUUAAUAAUUAAUUGAAACUUAAGAAGUCCUAAUCCCAUUAGGAUUUAUUUAAUUCUAGUCCUAAUCCAAUUAGGACUCUAAUUUGAAUUCGAAGUCCUAAUUCGAUUAGGACU